GUUCGUGUCAGUAGUUUGUUCGUAAUUAGUUUUGUCUGGUCUGUUCGGCUGCUAUAUUUCGCAGCGCCCGAGAUGCCGUUGAAGACGACCAUAGUCGCAUUUUGGAGUCGUUCAAGAGCCCUGCAAGUAACCGAAAGGGCGCUUUGAAACGUAGGACGCAACAACAAAAGCCUCGAAGUGCCUUAAGCAAUUCUCGGGACCCUAUGACGUCAGCAACGAUGUGCCUUCUAUUAGUGGGGUUGGAUGUUAUUGAAGACUGGAAGAUCCUCGACCACAUCGCCUUUCGGUCACCAAUGGAAUAAUGAUCGAUGAGUUGACUGGGGAGAGCAACGCCUUAUUUUCCCUAUUCGGCAUGUCCGCUACAGGACUAAGACUUUCUGUCAUCCAAGCUUAUCUACCUCGAAGGCUUCUACAGUAGCGUAAAUAAAACGAUAAAUUCGGUUCCA